CACCACCCUGGUUUUUACUUUCUCUUUUUUUUUUUUUUUUUUUUAUCAGCUCUAUAUGGCCUUGUGAUAUAUUCUUUUAUAUCAAAUCAUAUGUAAUACAUCACUGAAUCCUUGCAUCCACACAGAAUCAAACUGCAGACCAGUGCCCUGUUAGCAGGAGGAGAGGGUGUGGGAAUUGGCAGGGUGCUGCUGAAUUCCAGUUUCAAGAGGUGGAUCCCUUUCCUGGGAUGGGCAGGGUGGUUUUCAUCCCUCCUGGCUGAAGCUCCCUGUAAGUUCUCUGGGAUAAACCAGGUAACCACCAGGAUGAGCCAGUCCAUUUGGGAUGGCUCACCUCUGCAUCUGCCUGUUUCUUUGCUUUUCAGAAAACCAAAAAUGAAAAGACCCUGCGAAUUUUACAUCCCAAUCCACUGAACCUGGGAGCAUCCCUUUUCAUUUUGUAUCGUACAGGGCUCACUGCAUGCUGCCUUCUUGACAUCAGGGAAGAUGCUCCUGGAUCCACCAGGAAAAAAGUCCUGAGUUCACUCCAGUACUUCAGCAAAAUCCUGAUCAUUUUCUCUAGCUCAGCUCUGCUAUGAUCCCACAUCCAACACCUGCAAGCCAAACAUAGCCUAGAUCAUCUCUGGAUAGGACUGGGCAACUUUUGUACAGCUGUCAUUUUAAAGGAUAAUUACAAGCAUGACUUACAGGAUAAUAAGCAGAGAUAAAACUAAUUCCAGUAACCCAUCUCACUGUGGUGGAACCAGGGAAAAAAAACUCCUUUGCUGCACUUUAUGGGAGGAAGGGAGCAGUCGAGACUGAGCACUGGUGCUGUCAGUCGGUGUCACUGAGGAGGUAACCAGAACGAGUCUGUCCAAAACCAGCAAAGUUUGGUAAAGAUUUUGAGCUAGAUUAAACUCAGGGAGAGGUUUAUCUGCCUGUGCAGCCUCCUGAAUCACCAGCUGGGGAUGUGCAGGGAGCGGCAUCCUGGCACCCCAUCCGCCUGCACCAACAUUUCGGGUUGAGUAGACAGAGGAACGUCAAAGAGAGGUCUAAAUGCCCCAAAUGACAAAGAACCUUUUGCUCCCCCAGUGCCUGAUGUCACCAUCUCAGCCAGGGCAUGCAGCAUCUUCCAGGAGCCCAGGGCUGCAUCACAAAGGAACAACGGGAUAGAGGCACCAAACCCCUGCCAGGUUUUAUGCCUCAUAAACAAACUGCCUUGUAAAUAUGCCUUGUAAAUAAAAUAAAUAAGUACAGUAGUAGUGAUUUCCUUUGGUUUCAUCAGCUGAUAAGCUUACACCAAUGUGAGAUGCUGCCAAAACUGCAUACUGGUCCUGUCCCUGCCCUUACUCCAGCCUUUCUCCCCAUCCUGGUUUUGGCUCAGCACUGUCAGUUUUUGGCUGGGCUUAUUCCGGCUUGCAGGUCAGUGGUGACAAGGGGAGGUGGAAAAGCUCUUCUGGAGCCCCAGCAUCACCCUUUCAUCCCACUCAUUUAUUUCUUCCUUAGCCCUCCUUACGAAAUUUCCCACUGAGGACAUUUCUUUUCCCUCUCUCCUUUUUUUUUCCAGCCACUUCAUUUAUUGCCAAUGAACUGAUUUGUUCAAGCUGAGAAGGGUCAGCAGAUAAUGGAAAUAUGUGUUUAUGGGGAAAAGACAGUGCAAAUGCCAAGGAAAUAUGGCUGUGAGGCAGCUGGAAAGCCAAGGUGCAUCCAGGCAUCCAGCAACGUAGACAUGAUACACACAGGGAUCCCCAAGGAUGUGUGUGUGCGACAGUGAGUGACUGGCAGCAGUAAAAGGCCACCUCUGGGCCCCCUUGGGUGGGGCACACGGGACACGGUUGCACCUGAGCUCUGCCGGCUCCUGUUUAUCCAGCAGCCGCCCGACACAUUCCCGGUUGCUCCGGAGCUUUGUUUCCUGACCAACACCCAUUUGCAGUAUUUCCCAAACAAGCGGAGGCUCAUCAGCGAACACCAUCGCUCCCACUCCCUCUUCCAAUUGUCCCUGCGGGCUGGGGAGCAGCCGAGUUCAAGCAGUCCGUGCUCGGGCAUCAGCCGGGGAGGACGUAAAGCAUUAACGAGUUUAAUAUGACCAAGCAGACCAAAGGUUUCAAAGUGCAGCAUUGAAAAAUAUCCCUGUGGCACCGGUCUGUGAUACCCCAGGGCUUCAACAUGAGGUGCAGAAACCUGUCACUGCCUUCUUCUGAAUUCCUUCCUAUUUAAAAAGGGAUAAAAAUUCACAUUUCAUUUCAUUUUAGUUUAAGAAAUGGGAUUCUCCCUACCCAUGCCGUGCUCACAUAGCCAUUGUUCAACUCCACCUGGUUCAAUGCUGGAACAAAAUAAAAUAUAAAAUUAAAUUAAAUUAAGAUAAUACUUUUAAUUCUA